AACGAACGCUGGCGGCAUGCCUAACACAUGCAAGUCGAACGAGACCUUCGGGUCUAGUGGCGCACGGGUUCGUAACGCGUGGGAACCUGCCCUUAGGUUCGGAAUAACUCCCCGAAAGGGGUGCUAAUACCGGAUAAUGUCUUCGGACCAAAGAUUUAUCGCCUUUGGAUGGGCCCGCGUUGGAUUAGCUAGUUGGUAGGGUAAAAGCCUACCAAGGCGACGAUCCAUAGCUGGUCUGAGAGGAUGAUCAGCCACACUGGGACUGAGACACGGCCCAGAAUCCUACGAGAGGCAGCAGUGGGGAAUAUUGGACAAUGGGCGAGAGCCUGAUCAAGCAAUGCCGCGUGAGUGAUGAAGGCCUUAGGGUUGUAAAGCUCUUUUAACCGGGAUGAUAAUGACAGUACCGGGAGAAUAAGCGCCGGCUAACUCCGUG
rnacentral:rRNA from 1 species